GUGCCUGUGUUUGUCAGGCAAUAACUGCUGGAGUUGCCUCGGUUUUAGGCCGAGGCCCAUACAUGCAUCGCUUUGAACUUGAGUAGCGCCGCGUUCACCCGCUGUUUACGUUUUCCACACUGCUCGCUGCUUCUUUCAAUGAUGUCGAGCGGAGAGGCGACCCUGCAAACCGCCAAUGUUCAAGAAGCAGCAGUACAGUUCCAACCAGGAAUAAAACGGGAAGCAGAAAACUACAGCAACGGAGACAAAUAACGUCCCAGUCAAAUCCAGCAGUAGAUUGUCCAAUAAAACUGAAAAAUUACCUCAGGAGAAAAACAAGAUGAUUUGACAUUGAAUCCUCUGGAGAAUAAUGUGAACCAACUAUUUGUGACAGACUCAUAAUAGGUACAAAGGUCAUCACCACCUUCACAAUGGCAAUAAAGAUGGAGAUGACUGACCUAUGACAACCACAACCAUCUUCCAAUGUACUUAUGACUGAAAUGUCGACUCUCCUGGUCCUCAGAUGCUGCCUGAUCUGCUUUGCUUUUCCGGUGCCACACUUUUCGACUCCGAUGUGUCGGUAUGACUCCAAUCACCAGAGUUUUACCUCUGAUGCCUAUUGAUUCUAGUUUUGCUAGGACUCAUUGAUGCCACACUCAGUCAAAUGCAGCUUUGAUAUCAAGGGCUAUCCCU